UGGGUGCUUGCACCCAGGCGUCGAGCGGCGGACGGGUGAGUAACGCGUGAGAAUCUGCCCAUUUGUGGGGGAUAACUCGGGGAAACUCGAGCUAAUACCGCAUAAUCCCUACGGGGGAAAGCAGGGGACCUUCGGGCCUUGUGCAGAUGGAUGAGCUCGCGUCGGAUUAGCUAGUUGGUGGGGUAAAGGCCUACCAAGGCGACGAUCCGUAGCUGGUCUGAGAGGAUGAUCAGCCACACCGGGACUGAGACACGGCCCGGACUCCUACGGGAGGCAGCAGUGGGGAAUCUUGGACAAUGGGGGCAACCCUGAUCCAGCCAUGCCGCGUGUGUGAAGAAGGCCCUAGGGUUGUAAAGCACUUUCAGCAGGGAGGAAGGCUUACUGUUAAUACCGGUGAGUACUUGACGUUACCUGCAGAAGAAGCACCGGCUAAUUUCGUGCCAGCAGCCGCGGUAAUACGAAAGGUGCGAGCGUUAAUCGGAAUUACUGGGCGUAAAG
rnacentral:rRNA from 1 species